UACGAAGGGGGCUAGCGUUGUUCGGAAUUACUGGGCGUAAAGCGUGCGCAGGCGGCUGCUCAAGUCAGGGGUGAAAGCCCAGAGCUCAACUCUGGAAUUGCCUUUGAGACUGUGAAACUAGAGUACGAGAGAGGUGAGUGGAAUUCCCAGUGUAGAGGUGAAAUUCGUAGAUAUUGGGAAGAACACCGGUGGCGAAGGCGGCUCACUGGCUCGUUACUGACGCUCAGGUACGACAGCGUGGGGAUCAAACAGG
rnacentral:rRNA from 1 species